rnacentral:rRNA from 1 species
CGAGGGGCAGCGGGGAGCAAGCUUGCUUGCUCUGCCGGCGACCGGCGCACGGGUGAGUAACACGUAUGCAACCUGCCCUCCGCAGGGGGAUAACCCGGAGAAAUCCGGACUAAUACCGCGUGGUACACCGGUGGGGCAUCCCACGGGUGUUAAAAGGAAGUGAUUCCGGCGGAGGAUGGGCAUGCGGCGCAUUAGCUAGUUGGCGGGGUAACGGCCCACCAAGGCGACGAUGCGUAGGGGUUCUGAGAGGAAGGUCCCCCACACUGGUACUGAGACACGGACCAGACUCCUACGGGAGGCAGCAGUGAGGAAUAUUGGUCAAUGGGCGGGAGCCUGAACCAGCCAAGUCGCGUGAGGGAAGACGGUCCUAUGGAUUGUAAACCUCUUUAGGCGGGGAGCAAUGCCGGGCACGCGUGCCCGGAGGGAGAGUACCCGCAGAAUAAGCAUCGGCUAACUCCGUGCCAGCAGCCGCGGUAAUACGGAGGAUGCGAGCGUUAUCCGGAUUUAUUGGGUUUAAAGGGUGCGUAGGCGGAUUUUUAAGUCAGCGGUAAAAUGUCCGGGCUCAACCCGGGCCGGCCGUUGAAACUGGGGAUCUUGAGUGGGCGAGAAGUAUGCGGAAUGCGUGGUGUAGCGGUGAAAUGCAUAGAUAUCACGCAGAACUCCGAUUGCGAAGGCAGCAUACCGGCGCCCGACUGACGCUGAGGCACGAAAGCGUGGGGAUCGAACAGGAUUAGAUACCCUGGUAGUCCACGCAGUAAACGAUG